GUGACCCCAGGAUGGGCGAGGCCACCCGCCGAGUUUAAGCAUAUCUA
rnacentral:rRNA from 1 species